rnacentral:rRNA from 1 species
GAUGAACGCUGGCGGCGUGCCUAAUACAUGCAAGUCGAGCGAACAGACGAGGAGCUUGCUCCUCUGACGUUAGCGGCGGACGGGUGAGUAACACGUGGAUAACCUACCUAUAAGACUGGGAUAACUUCGGGAAACCGGAGCUAAUACCGGAUAAUAUAUUGAACCGCAUGGUUCAAUAGUGAAAGACGGUUUUGCUGUCACUUAUAGAUGGAUCCGCGCCGCAUUAGCUAGUUGGUAAGGUAACGGCUUACCAAGGCAACGAUGCGUAGCCGACCUGAGAGGGGGAUCGGCCACACGGGAACUGAGACACGCUCCAGACUCCUACGGGAGGCAGCAGUAGGGAAUCUUCCGCAAUGGGCGAAAGCCUGACGGAGCAACGCCGCGUGAGUGAUGAAGGUCUUCGGAUCGUAAAGCUCUGUUUUUAGGGAAGAACAAAUGUGUAAGUAACUAUGCACGUCUUGACGGUACCUAAUCAGAAAGCCACGGCUAACUACGUG